rnacentral:rRNA from 1 species
AGUGAGGAAUAUUGGUCAAUGGGCGAGAGCCUGAACCAGCCAUCCCGCGUGCAGGAUGACGGCCCUAUGGGUUGUAAACUGCUUUUCUACGCCAAGAAAUCCACCUACGUGUAGGUGGUUGACGGUAGCGUAGGAAUAAGCAUCGGCUAACUCCGUGCCAGCAGCCGCGGUAAUACGGAGGAUGCAAGCGUUAUCCGGAUUCAUUGGGUUUAAAGGGUGCGCAGGCGGGCUUGUAAGUCAGUGGUGAAAUACUGCCGCUCAACGGUAGAACUGCCAUUGAUACUGCAAGUCUUGAAUAUGGUUGAGGUAGGCGGAAUGUGUCGUGUAGCGGUGAAAUGCAUAGAUAUGACACAGAACGCCAAUUGCGAAGGCAGCUUACUAAGCCAUUAUUGACGCUGAGGCACGAAAGCGUGGGGAGCGAACAGGAUUAGAUACCCUGGUAGUCCACGCCGUAAACGAUGUUCACUCGCUGUCUGCGAUACACAGUAGGCGGCUGAGCGAAAGCAUUAAGUGAACCACCUGGGGAGUACGAUCGCAAGGUUGAAACUCAAAGGAAUUGACGGGGGCCCGCACAAGCGGAGGAACAUGUGGUUUAAUUCGAUGAUACGCGAGGAACCUUACCUGGGCUUAAAUGUAGAUUGCAUAACUUAGAAAUAGGUUUUCCCUUCGGGGCUAUUUACAAGGUGCUGCAUGGUUGUCGUCAGCUCGUGCCGUGAGGUGUCGGGUUAAGUCCCAUAACGAGCGCAACCCCUAUCGUUAGUUGCCAGCGGAUAAUGCCGGGGACUCUAGCGAGACUGCCACCGUAAGGUGAGAGGAAGGUGGGGAUGACGUCAAAUCAGCACGGCCCUUAUGUCCAGGGCUACACACGUGUUACAAUGGCAGGUACAAAGGGCAGCUACACAGCAAUGUGAUGCUAAUCUCUAAAGCCUGUCCCAGUUCGGAUUGGAGUCUGCAACCCGACUCCAUGAAGUUGGAUUCGCUAGUAAUCGGAUAUCAGCAAUGAUCCGGUGAAUACGUUCCCGGGCCUUGUACACACCGCCCGUCAAACCAUGGAAGCUGGGGGUGCCUGAAGUCUGUAGCCGAAAGGAGCGGCCUAGGGUAAAACUAGUAACUAGGGUU